UUUGGAGGGCAAGUCUGGUGCCAGCAGCCGCGGUAAUUCCAGCUCCAAUAGCGUAUAUUAAAGUUGUUGCAGUUAAAAAGCUCGUAGUUGAAUUUCGGGAUCAAUAUUUCGGUCAUGCCGUUGGUAUGCACUGUUAUCAUUGAUUUCUCACCUUCUAAAGAACCGUAAUGCCAUUAAUUUGGUGUUACGGGGAAUUAGGACUGUUACCUUGAAAAAAUUAGAGUGUUUAAAGCAGGC
rnacentral:rRNA from 1 species